ACGUACCGGACAAACGUUAUUCGGAAUCACUGGGCUUAAAGAGUACGUAGGCUGCCUUGAAGGUGAGAUGUGAAAUCCCAUGGCUCAACCAUGGAACUGCAUUUCAAACCACAAGGCUUGAGGGAGACAGGGGUAAGCGGAACUGAUGGUGGAGCGGUGAAAUGCGUUGAUAUCAUCAGGAACACCGGUGGCGAAGGCGGCUUACUGGGUCUUUUCUGACGCUGAGGUACGAAAGCUAGGGUAGCGAACGGG
rnacentral:rRNA from 1 species